GUGGGGAAUAUUGGACAAUGGGCGAAAGCCUGAUCCAGCCAUGCCGCGUGUGUGAAGAAGGUCUUCGGAUUGUAAAGCACUUUAAGUUGGGAGGAAGGGUAGUAACCUAAUACGUUGCUACUUUGACGUUACCGACAGAAUAAGCACCGGCUAACUUCGUGCCAGCAGCCGCGGUAAUACGAAGGGUGCAAGCGUUAAUCGGAAUUACUGGGCGUAAAGCGCGCGUAGGUGGUUCAGUAAGUUGGAAGUGAAAUCCCCGGGCUCAACCUGGGAACUGCUUUCAAAACAGCUGAGCUAGAGUACGGUAGAGGGUGGUGGAAUUUCCUGUGUAGCGGUGAAAUGCGUAGAUAUAGGAAGGAACACCAGUGGCGAAGGCGACCACCUGGACUGAUACUGACACUGAGGUGCGAAAGCGUGGGGAGCAAACAGGAUUAGAUACCCGAGUAGUCC
rnacentral:rRNA from 1 species